ACUCCGCCAUGACGGACGGCAAAAUAACCAAAGUGCUUCUUUUAAACUAGUCAUCUGUCAUCUAAUAUCGCUUUUAUUUAGUUGAUUUCACUUUAAAGAUGGUCACAGGAUGCUGCGCGGUCGGCUACAGAAAAAGACAAGGAUAGAAACCAAACUCGUCAUUUUAUUUUAUAACCUUUAAAGAGGAAAGAUGUGGCGGCGAUGGAUAGCAGCCGUUAAUCACAAUGACCGUCAGCCCUCGGUGUAACCGCGGAUUUGCAGUGAACAGUUUUUAUAAGGUCGCAAAACGCUGCAAAGACGAGAAAGAUCAAGUCUUCUGUCAGUCACAAAGGUUUUUUAACAACAAAUCAACAGCGAUGACCAACUUUGAGGCUGUUCUGAUUGGCUGGCCCUGGGGAAAGGAGAUAUCAUGUUUAGCCCCGAACCAACAUGCAUCCCUCAUCCACCAUCCGCUGCCGCCACGAUUGUGAGGAAGAGGAAAAAAAGCACGAGCGAGUGUCAGAGGGAGGUCUGUGCGUUCAGGCGAUCGCACACUCUGCUCUUUCUACUAAAGUGCUUCUCGUCUCCUCAGCGGAGGUUGAUGAGGUAUGACAUCACAGCACUUUGUUUUAUCUUUAAAAGAUGAGCAGGGAGCCCUCCACUUCCCCUUAAUGAGGCCGAGGUGCCCACAGAAUAUAUGGAGAGUGUGUACGCGCGUGGACACGCUUUCCAUCUCGUUUUCUUUGCAUGCCAGCAACGUGCGUUUUCGGCUCACGCUUGCUAACACCCGUUUUACCCAUAACCCCUGGCGUUUCCUGUCCUGAAGCCAUGUGUCAGACCUCAUUGGCUACCGCAUCAAUAACACGGCAUCCGCUCGGCUCCAAACGCCGCAUCCUAACGGCCAGACGCGCCGCAGAUUGGACUGAUCGUCUUUUUCUGUUCGUUUUCUCCAGCGGCGGUGAUUGAGGUUGAUUUUUGGUUUUGUUUAUACAUCUGCCUCAAGGUGCUGAUCCGCAGAGCCGGACGGCUUCUCGUACAGGAGUUACUGUCCAAUUACUAAUUGCACUGUUUGAGUUACAGGAUUUGUUUGUUAACAUAUUUCUGUAACAAGUGUUUUACCAGAAAGGGGAACAAAUGUGUUUCAAGGGUUAACAAUGCACUGUAAAAACAGUGAAAUAUUGGCAGCUCCACAGAAUUUUAUGGCAUAAACACAGAUUUUACUGAAUCACUGUGGUAAAAUCUACAUCUAUGCAGUAAAAUUUGGUUUAAAUACCAAACAGCCUGAUACAUUUGGUAUAAAUACUGUAAAAUUCUGGCCUCCACAGAAUUCUAUGGUAUAAAUAUGGAUUUACAUUUUUAACAAUUUUAUUGUUGUUUUGGAUUUUACCUUAUCAAUAUGGUAAAAUCUGGAUUUAUAAAGUAGAAUUUGGUAUAAAUAGCAAAUAAUUUAUACCAAAUACAUUUGAUAUUUAUACCAUAAAAUUCUGGCAUCCACAGAAUUUAUAUGGUAAAAUCCAUCUUUUUUUUUUUCUUUUUUUUUUACAGUGUAGGACUAAAAUACAUAAGUGGGGAAAAAACUAAACCAAGUUGGACUAGAGACAAAACAAACAUUAUCUAUAUAAAACAGGAACAUUUCACAAUAAAUCUAGAAUUUUAGAAAACAUCAUCAAACCUCUUUUGAAAUGCAUUUUUAUACAGAAUAAUUUCCUUUAAUACCUUUUUUAUACUCUAAAAUAUCACUUUAUCUUAUAUUAUGCAAUGUAUUUUAUUGUUGUUUUUAUAUUUUUGCUUUUAUCGUGUUCCAUUAAUUAUUGUUUUCAUAAUUAAAUGUGGCAAAAAAGCCAAGCGAAAGAGGUGUUGCUGUUAGCUAGCAGUGAUGUCUAGGUGCUAAUCCUCAUGGGAAGCUGCUGGACGCUGGUUUCCCUGACGUGUGCGCCAUGUUGCCAGACGAGCUCGUUGCCGGGCGAUUAACCGGCGUUAGCCGUCAUUAGCCUCUGCGCACCAACGCAGCAGCAGACUGCAAUUAACCCGCUAAUCCGGCUAAUCCACUAAUGGAGCUAAUCUGAUAGACUACAGAGAGGUUUUUCAAUUGGCUUUCUCUGGGAGCACACACACACACACACACACACACACAGUCACGCCUGCGUGCACAUAGAAGCCCUGGAUUCAUGUUUCCAGCUCCUGCACACAUUUACACACAGCUCCUUAAACAGUCACAGUCGAUCUCGGUUAAACCCACUGCAUCCGUGACCAGAGUUGGGGAGUAACUAGUUACAUUUACUCAAUUAUAUUUACUUGAGUA